UAAUACGUAGGGGCCAAACGUUGUCCGGAUUUAUUGGGCGUAAAGGGCUCGUAGGCGGUUCAACAAGUCGGUCGUGAAAACCCGGGGCUCAACCCCGGGACGCCGGUCGAAACUGUUGUGACUAGGGUCCGGUAGAGGUGAGUGGAAUUCUCGGUGUAGCGGUGGAAUGCGCAGAUAUCGAGAGGAACACCAGUAGCGAAGGCGGCUACCUGGCUCGUAACUGACGCUAAUGCGCGAAAGCGUGGGGAGCAAACAGGAUUAGAUACCCUGGUAGUCCACGCUGUAAACGAUGGGCACUAGGUGUUGGUUCCGCUUGCGGAAUCGGUGCCGCAGCUAACGCAUUAAGUGCCCCGCCUGGGGAGUACGAUCGCAAGGUUG
rnacentral:rRNA from 1 species